CAACCUCAACUCAUAUGGGACUACCCCCUGAAUUUAAGCAUAUUAAUUAGGGGAGGAAAAGAAACUAACAAGGAUUUUCUUAGUAGCGGCGAGCGAAAAGAAAUCAGUUCAGCACUAAGUCACCUUGUCUUUAUGGCAAAUGUGAGAUGCAGUGUAUGGAAUGUCUAAAUUCUAAUAUGAGAAAUUAACGAUUUAAGUCCUUCUUAAAUGAGGCCAUUUACCCAUAGAGGGUGCCAGGCCCGUAUAACGUUUAUGAUUAUUAGAAGGCAUUUCCAAAGAGUCGUGUUGCUUGAUAGUGCAGCACUAAGUGGGUGGUAAACUCCAUCUAAAACUAAAUAUAACCAUGAGACCGAUAGUAAACAAGUACCGUGAGGGAAAGUUGAAAAGAACUCUGAAUAGAGAGUUAAAUAGUACGUGAAACUGCUUAGAGGUUAAGCCCGAUGAACCUGAAUAUCCAUUAUAGAAAAUUCAUCAUUAAAAUUGUAAUAUAAUUAAUUUUAAUAUUAUAAUGAUAGUGUGCAUUUUUUCUAUAUAAGGACAUUGUAAUCUAUUAAUAUUAAAUAACACAAAAAAUUUAUCAAAAAAUUAUAAACUUGUAGUUUAUUCAAAUUAUUUUACUUUAUUGUAUUAUAACAUAGAAUAAGUGUUUAUUUGAUUUGAUAAAGUAUUGAUAGAUUUAAAAUAUACAAUGCAAUAAUUAUUUAAAACUAUAUAAUGGCAUAUAUAUGAAUUUAUAUGUGUUUUAUUAUAUGCAUUUGUAUGAUUAACAAUGCGAAAGAUUCAGGAUACCUUCGGGACCCGUCUUGAAACACGGACCAAGGAGUCUAACAUAUAUGCAAGUCAUUGGGAUAAUAUUAUUAUAAACCUAAUGGCAUAAUUAACUUGACUUAUUAUUUUAAAUGGGAUUAGUUUUUAAUUCUAUAUAUAUAGUUUUAUUAACACAAUCCCGGGGCGUUCUAUAUAGUUAUGUAUAAUGAUAUUUUUUAAAUAUUAUUUAUAUCUCUAACUGGAACGUACCUUGAGCAUAUAUGCUGUGACCCGAAAGAUGGUGAAC
rnacentral:rRNA from 1 species